rnacentral:lncRNA from 1 species
AUGUGAUUUGAGAAGGAAACUUGUGGGUAUUUAUAGAAAAGCGGGUCUCUCUAAUUCCUCGUAAAGGGAGGACUCGUUAAUUCCAUGUAAUGCAAAAUCGUCGUAAAGACCUCGUAAUCUGAAAACGCGGGCCUCGCUAUUUCCUCGUUUAGUAAAACGCGGGCCUCGCUAUUUCCUCGUAUUGUAAAAUGCGGGCCUUUGUAAUUCCUCGUAACUUUACGAGGAAAU